UGAGUUGCCAAUUUCCAAUUUGACUUGGCUGUUUUUUUUUGUUGUCUAUACCCUACUGAAAUAGGCCAUUCGACUCAUUUGUUCGUGGCAGAAGAGAGCAGCAGUGUGCCCGUAAUAUGAUAGCAAUAUGAUAGUUUGCUAUCAUAUCAUGCACCUCGCCGGGGUGUUACGGUGUCGCGCGGUGCAAAAUUAUCGUUCCGGUGGAAGCCCCGGCGCGGUCCAUCAUUGCGGAAAUUACGGUCGCGUUCGCGAGAUAUUUGUGUACUCUGAGAAUAUUAUUUAACUCAAAUUCAAAUAUUCAGGAUUAAAUGGCUACGAUUUAAGUGGGGUGGUAAAUGUUUGGGAUUCGUUAAAGCGGCUAGCUUUAAAUGUACUGGGUCAGCUUUCGAUUCCAGGUUGUAAAGAGCAAGGAACAAUUUAGAUUUGCGGAAUCCGUCAAGGAUAUUAUUUCCAAUAAAAAAAAAAUAAUUUUAUUAAUUAAAAUGCUAAUCAUUAUUUAGUAAAAUAAUAUUACUAUAUAAUAACAUUCGAUAAAAACGUGUUAAAUUUAUCGUUUAGUAAACUACAAAAUUUAUUGUCAUCCAUCAAAAAAACAGCUGAUGAUGGCAAAACUCAAAAUGUUUGCUCUGAAUUGUGAAAUUUGUAACAUAUACGGAUUAGCAAUCGUUUUAGCUGUUGUUCAGCAAUAUAAAAUGUUGUUGAAAAUCUGUUGGUGGCGUUGGAAAGAGAGAAAAACAACAUAAAUGAAUUCGACGAGGAGUUUGUUGCAGUGUGAAAUUUGGUGGUACAACACCAAAAAUAUACAUAACAAAAACCGAAACAAUACAAAAAGAAGAGAGCAGAAGAUGGUGGUGGUAUGUUUAAUGAACAUUUGAAUGUAUGUAUGUAUAUGUUUUUUACGAUUAGUAUCUGUCAUCGGGCAUCAUUAAUCCGUACAUCAGAUUUAGCGUAAUAAUAGUUUGAUGUUUAAAUCGUUUAAAUCGGCAAUAUCGUGCAGCACAGUAGACAUUACAGAAGGAGUACCACAAAUCCUGUGUGAGAUACCACGAGUUUUAAGGCUUUGCUGUCUGGUCACAGACAAAUCAAAAAAACACCAAGCAGUCGCGCUCUCUCACUGAGCAGAAUGUUUUUUGCCUCUUCGCUUAUGAGACCUCUUUCUUGAGCCAACACACGAUUUUGUUUCACAAUAACAACUUUGGUCAAGCGCUCACAGAAAAAGUUUCUGUAGAUGAAGGGAACCAAAAAAGUUAAGUUUUUAGUUUUCUGCUUAUUUUGGGUUAUAUGAGUUGUAAUAUAUUUUUAUAGAAUUGGGAAAAUUUUUUAAACUGAAGAUAGAUGAUGAAGGGGAUUUGGGAUAAUAAUGAAGACUAUACGUGUUAGAAAUUGUCUGCAUUUUGUCCUAAUAAUAUCUGAAAAAUAGGUUAUAAACAUUAAGCAUGCACAUUAUUGUGUACAUAUGUAAAUAGAUAUAAUUUAUUAACUGCAAACUUUGUAAUUAUAUUUUGAUGUAUGGUAUUUAAUAAUUAAUAAAUGAAUAUAUAUCAUAUAAUUUAUUUAUGAGCAUGCACAUCUGUUUCAAUUCCUUGUUCCAAUUUCAGGCAAUACCGCAAUCGGUGCUAUCGAAAACUGUAUGUAAAGCCUUACAAAUAGUUAUACACAUAUUAUUAUGUUUGUGUGUGUGUGUGUGUUCUAAUAAUCAGUGGCGAUCAAACUUGAUUAAAAAUAAAUAAUUGAUAUAGUUACAACAUAUUCAAUGUCUGGAAAUACAUGCAGUGGUUGGCACUUACUUAGGGCUAAGAUAUUUUUAUCGUCCGCGAUAUACUAUCAAUUUGUUUCGCGAAUAUUUGAAUUUUAAAUGCAAUACCGCAAUCGGUGCUAUCGAAAACUGUAUGUAAAGCCUUACAAAUAGUUAUACACAUAUUAUUAUGUUUGUGUGUGUGUGUGUGUUCUAAUAAUCAGUGGCGAUCAAACUUGAUUAAAAAUAAAUAAUUGAUAUAGUUACAACAUAUUCAAUGUCUGGAAAUACAUGCAGUGGUUGGCACUUACUUAGGGCUAAGAUAUUUUUAUCGUCCGCGAUAUACUAUCAAUUUGUUUCGCGAAUAUUUGAAUUUUAAAUAACGGUCUACCCGGAACUUCAAAACAAAUUUGCAUAUUCAAAUGCAAGCACGCAAAGAGUAAAGUGAACGUUGAUAAUAAUAUUAAAAAUAACGCGAUUCCCUAAGAUAAAAUACAUAAGUUCGAUUUCUGAUACAUACAGCUGCGCCGAAAAAAAUAGCACCAGGGGACUAGUGUGUCUAUAUUGACGGAUUUUGCAUAAGCAAUGGUUCUAAUGAACGUUGUUAAGAGUAAUAUGUAAACUUUAAGGUAUAAUUUAUCGUAUCCCAGAGCACUGGUAUGAUUUGCAAACUCCAAAUGAAAAUAUUUGAAAAGAAAAGGAUUUUAUCAGAAAUUUGGGCACCAACAAAAAUAGCACCAAUUUACAAAGAAAUCGAAAAACUAUUAAAUUCAAAGAAACUUUCCACAUUUUUUUGUAAAAUAUGUUACUUUAGUUGUAUUUAAAGGUUGGCAUUUUGUUGUAAAACCUUUGGCAGCAACAACAGCAGCUCAACAUAUUGGAAUUAAAGCUCACCUAAUUUUCGCAUCUUUUCCUUGGGAUAUUGAUCCACGAACCAUGCAGGAUACCCCAAACAUAUUUAUUGUUCUUUGAUUCCGCAUUAGAAACAUAUUUUUUGACUUGACCCAAAAUAUUAGCAAUGGGGCUCAAGUCUGGAGACUGAACAGGCCAAUCUAUUGCACUAAGUGAAUUGUGCUCGAACCACUUUCGAGCUUUCUUUCUAGUUCGUUUUGGGUCAUUUUCCUGCUGGAAGACACAAAACAACUCUAUUUCGAAUUCUACAUAAAGCAGAAUCACUGUUUCUUUGAUAUUGACAUAGACAUGUUGAUCCAUAAUGGGUUUGUGCCAUGUAUUGGAUCACCUACUUAGUACGAAAAUCAUUCCCACACGAUCUUGCUUGUUUUCUAUGUCUAAUGAAUUUACAAGUGAGUCAGGGGGUUGUAUUCUGCAUUCGGUAGUCGUUUCAAAAAAGAACAAGACCCUUUUACACCAAAAAAUUAAUUUUGGCUUUAGUCGGACCACAGGAUGUUUCUCCAUUUUCUUUGGCCCAACUUCAGUGCUAUUUUGCAUAACAAACUUUUUUUGCCCUAUGCCUUCCCG